UACGAAGGGUGCAAGCGUUACUCGGAAUUACUGGGCUUAAAGCGUGCGUAGGUGGUUCGUUAAGUCUGAUGUGAAAGCCCUGGGCUCAACCUGGGAAUGGCAUUGGAAACUGGCGACCUAGAGUGCGGUAGAGGGUAGUGGAAUUCCCGGUGUAGCAGUGAAAUGCGUAGAGAUCGGGAGGAACAGCCGUGGCGAAGGCAAUCCCCUGGGCCUGAACUGACGCUCAUGCACGAAAGCGUGGGGAGCAAACAGG
rnacentral:rRNA from 1 species